CCUUUGAUGGGGUAGUCGAAGUCCUUAUGACUCUUUGGAUUUUUAUCUUCUAACAUGGAAACAUCACAUAGGAUUUUAAGAUUACUUUGUAGUUCUAGUUCUUAUACUCAAUCAUACACAUGACAUCUAGUCAUAUUUGACUCCAAAACACUAACCCA
rnacentral:sRNA from 1 species